rnacentral:rRNA from 1 species
UACGGAGGAUCCGAGCGUUAUCCGGAUUUAUUGGGUUUAAAGGGUGCGUAGGCGGUUUGAUAAGUUAGAGGUGAAAUGUCGGGGCUCAACCCCGAAACUGCCUCUAAUACUGUUGGACUAGAGAAUAGUUGCGGUAGGCGGAAUGUAUGGUGUAGCGGUGAAAUGCUUAGAGAUCAUACAGAACACCGGUUGCGAAGGCAGCUUACCAAACUAUAUCUGACGUUGAGGCACGAAAGCGUGGGUAGCAAACAGG